rnacentral:rRNA from 1 species
CCCUUAGAUGUUCGGGGCUGCACGCGCGCUACACUGACCCUAACAAUGAGCAACUGUCUGGCCUGAGAUGGCUGGGUAGCCUUUUCAACCCAUGUCAUGAUUGGGCUAGAUUUUUGUAAGUCUUGAUCUCUAACGAGGAAUCCCUAGUAUGCGUGAAUCAUCAAUCCAUGCAGAUUAUGUCCCUGCCCUUUGUACACACCGCCCGUCGCUCCUACUGAUUGGGUGAUCCGGUGAGCUGUUCGGCCAUAGCAAUGUUUCUUGAGCAGGGCAAUGAAUGUUUCGCAAACCUUGCCACUUAGAGGAAGGAGAAGUCGUAACA